rnacentral:rRNA from 1 species
AUUGAACGCUGGCGGCAGGCUUAACACAUGCAAGUCGAGCGGGGUGAUGGUGCUUGCACUAUCACUUAGCGGCGGACGGGUGAGUAAUGCUUAGGAAUCUGCCUAUUAGUGGGGGACAACAUCUCGAAAGGGAUGCUAAUACCGCAUACGUCCUACGGGAGAAAGCAGGGGAUCACUUGUGACCUUGCGCUAAUAGAUGAGCCUAAGUCGGAUUAGCUAGUUGGUGGGGUAAAGGCCUACCAAGGCGACGAUCUGUAGCGGGUCUGAGAGGAUGAUCCGCAACACUGGGACUGAGACACGGCCCAGACUCCACGGGAGGCAGCAGUGGGGAAUAUUGGACAAUGGGGGGAACCCUGAUCCAGCCAUGCCGCGUGUGUGAAGAAGGCCUUAUGGUUGUAAAGCACUUUAAGCGAGGAGGAGGCUCUUUUGGUUAAUACCCAAGAUGAGUGGACGUUACUCGCAGAAUAAGCACCGGCUAACUCUGUGCCAGCCGCCGCAGUAA